rnacentral:rRNA from 1 species
UACGAAGGGUGCAAGCGUUACUCGGAAUUACUGGGCGUAAAGCGUGCGUAGGCGGUUUGUUAAGUCCGCUGUGAAAGCCCUGGGCUCAACCUGGGAAUUGCAGUGGAUACUGGCAAGCUAGAGUGCGGUAGAGGAUGGUGGAAUUCCCGGUGUAGCGGUGAAAUGCGUAGAGAUCGGGAGGAACACCUGUGGCGAAGGCGGCCAUCUGGACGGUAACUGACGCUGAGACGCGAAAGCGUGGGUAGCAAACAGG